rnacentral:lncRNA from 1 species
AGAGAAAUGACUUUGCAGGUGGAUUCAGUCUCGGGAGGGACACUUCCAAGUUUGACUUGGGAAUCCACCUCCCUAGUCCCUUCCAGGGAAUUCCUUCUGUCCCAUUGUUCACGGCCUUGGUGGGAGGGGAGAGCCAGGGGUCUCUGUCUAUCUAUAAAUGCUGGAGGGCCACACUCUUAGCCAGUGUUCACCGUGGGAACUCUGAGAUAUGGGUUAGAAUAAGUCUCACAGGAUACUCGCAGGCAUAUGGGUCAAACAGAUCCUAUGGGCCCCAAGACCAAGCCUGUGGAUUCCACAUUCCAUCUUGAGGCUACACUGCUUUGGUUCCUGCCCUUUUUCCAAGAAUAGACCCACAGCCACCCACCACUUACCCUUCCAGUGAAAGGCCUUUAACAUAAUUUUUUUGCUUUCAACUAGAGUCUGGAAAGGCAAUCCCCCAGCAGGGAAGAUGUAGGUGGGGUAAGGGGCUUUCUCCAUGGCAUCACAGGAUCACCCGCUGUGGCCAAGACUGUUCCCGUCGGAAUCCCCAGAGCCUAAAACGCAGGGCAGAAGAGGAUAUUACCUCCCAUCACAGGCACACUCUUUCCUGCCUGGGCCUGUGAAGCACACCCAUGGGGCCAAGUCACCGGCUGCCUCUCCUCUCUCCCUGUGCCUGUCCUCAGCCCAGAGCCAGACAGAUGGUCCAGAGCCUGCACCGGUCUAGCGCUGUGGAAACUCAGAGAGUGCCUCACCGUGGCACCCGGGGCCAACAAAGAAGCUGUGGACCCACAUUUCUCCUGAUACGUCAGCGUUUUCAAGUCUCUACCAACCAAGGCAGGCCUGGGGACAUCUGUGAUCCCAGCCCUCUGGGAGGCUGCACCAGGAGGAUCACAAGUUCAAGUCCAACCUGAGCAACUUAGCGAUGUAGUGAGACCCUGUCUCCAAAUAAAAAAUACAAAAACAAAGCCUGGGGAUGUAGCUCAGUGCAAAGGCUCUGGGUUCUGUCCCCAGAUCAUAUGAUUUUGAGAUCAUUCAUAUAUAUAUACAUAUAUAUAUGAUUUCCACCAAUGAAAUGGGUACACCAG